rnacentral:tRNA from 1 species
GCAGGCGUGGCGGAAUUGGUAUACGCGUACGCUUCAGGAGCGUAUGAGAGCAAUCUCGUGAGGGUUCGAGUCCCUCCGCCUGCACCA